rnacentral:rRNA from 1 species
AUGUGGUUAAACAAGGAAGGGCGCACGGUGGAUGCCUUGGCACUAGGCGCCGAUGAAGGACGGGACGAACACCGAUAUGCUUCGGGGAGCUGUAAGUAUGCGUGGAUCCGGAGAUGUCCGAAUGGGGGAACCCCUUCUCCGUCAUGGGAGAAGAUCAUCUGCCCAACAGAUUAAGCAGAUGAAGGCAAACCCGGCGAACUGAAACAUCUUAGUAGCCGGAGGAAGAGAAAGCAAACGCGAUUUCCUGAGUAGCGGCGAGCGAAACGGAAGGUAGCCCAAACCAAGCGGCUUGCCGCUUGGGGUUGUAGGACACGCCAUAUGGAGUGAUAAAGGGACGGUGUAGCGGAAGCGACUUGGAACGGUCCGUCGCAGAAGGUAAGAGCCCUGUACGCGAAACACUGUCCUCUCCGGCGUGGAUCCUGAGUACGGCGGGACACGAGAAAUCCCGUCGGAAUCCGGGAGGACCAUCUCCCAAGGCUAAAUACGCCCUAGUGACCGAUAGUGAACCAGUACCGUGAGGGAAAGGUGAAAAGCACCCCGGGAGGGGAGUGAAAGAGAACCUGAAACCGUGUGCCUACAGGUGGUCAGAGCCCGUUCAUGGGUGAUGGCGUGCCUUUUGUAGAAUGAACCGGCGAGUGACGAUGACGUGCAAGGUUAAGUUGAAGAGACGGAGCCGCAGCGAAAGCGAGUCUGAAGUGGGCGAGUGAGUACGUCGACGUCGACCCGAAACCGUGUGAUCUACCCAUGUCCAGGGUGAAGGUCGGGUAACACCGACUGGAGGCCCGAACCCACGUAAGUUGAAAAUUACGGGGAUGAGGGGUGGGUAGGGGUGAAAUGCCAAUCGAACACGGAGAUAGCUGGUUCUCCCCGAAAUAGCUUUAGGGCUAGCCUCGGAGGAAAGAGUCCUGGAGGUAGAGCACGGAUUGGAUGAGGGGUCCCUACAGGAUUACCGAGUUCAGUCAAACUCCGAAUGCCAGCGACUUGUUCUCCGGGAGUCAGACGGCGAGUGCUAAGAUCCGUCGUCAAGAGGGAAACAACCCGGACCACCGGCUAAGGUCCCCAAGUAUGGGUUAAGUGGGAAAGGAUGUGGCGUUGCUUAGACAACCAGGAUGUUGGCUUAGAAGCAGCCAUCAUUGAAAGAGUGCGUAAUAGCUCACUGGUCGAGUGACGCUGCGCCGAAAAUGUACCGGGGCUAAACCCAUCACCGAAGCCGUGGAUGCUGGAAGUCGGAAGUGAGAAGUGAGAAGUCGGAAAAGGAGUCAAAAGAUGAUUAAAGGCUAUCGAGAUUUACGUGUUUAUCAGGAGGCGUAUCAACUCGGAAAAGACAUUCAUCAAGUGACUCAGCCAUUUCCGAAAGAGGAACAAUAUGAGAUAGGGCGUCAACUUCGAAGAGCUGCAUUGUCGAUCCCCUUAAAUAUUGCCGAAGGAUACGGAAAGAAGCAGUCAACAGCUGAUUUUAAACGUUUCCUUUUGAUAGCCAUGGGAUCAGCCAAUGAAGUUGAAGUGCUCCUUGAUUAUGCCAGAGAUUUCAACUAUUUAUCUGAUGAAGCGUAUAACGAAUACUUUGGACGAUAUGUUCGACUAGGGAAACAGUUAAAUGCUUUGCAUCAAAAAUGGGUUUGAACUUCUCUGACCUCUCACCUCUGACCUCUGACUUCCAGCAUGGUAGGGGAGCGUUCUGUAGGCAGAGAAGGUCGACCGAGAGGACGGCUGGAGCGUACAGAAGUGAGAAUGCCGGUAUGAGUAGCGAAAAGAAGGGUGAGAAUCCCUUCCGUCGAAAACCUAAGGUUUCCUGAGGAAGGCUCGUCCGCUCAGGGUUAGUCGGGGCCUAAGCUGAGGCCGAAAGGCGUAGGCGAUGGAUAACUGGUGGAAAUUCCAGUACCACCGAUGGCUGUUGGACCGAAGGGGGGACGCAGAAAGGUAGGGAGAGCGCGCUUAUGGAAAAGCGCGUCGAAGCGUCCGAGGCUGUUGGGCAGGCAAAUCCGCCCAACGAGAAGGCUGAGGCGUGACCGCGAGGGAAAAUGAGUACCGAAGUCCCUGAUCCUCCGCUGCCGAGAAAAGCCUCUAGGAAGGUCAUCGGUGCCCGUACCGCAAACCGACACAGGUAGGUGGGAUGAGAAUUCUAAGACGCGCGGGAGAACUCUCGUUAAGGAACUCGGCAAAAUGACCCCGUAACUUCGGGAGAAGGGGUGCUCUUGCGGGUGCAAGCCUGCGGGAGCCGCAGUGACAAGGCCCAAGCGACUGUUUACCAAAAACACAGGUCUCUGCGAAGUCGAAAGACGAAGUAUAGGGGCUGACACCUGCCCGGUGCUGGAAGGUUAAGAGGAGGGCUUAGCCCAAAAGGGCGAAGGUCCGAAUUGAAGCCCCAGUAAACGGCGGCCGUAACUAUAACGGUCCUAAGGUAGCGAAAUUCCUUGUCGGGUAAGUUCCGACCCGCACGAAAGGUGCAACGACUUGGGCACUGUCUCAACGAGAGACCCGGUGAAAUUAUAUGACCUGUGAAGAUGCAGGUCCCCCGCGACUGGACGGAAAGACCCCAUGGAGCUUUACUGUAGCUUGAUAUUGGGUUUUGAUAUUGCUUGUACAGGAUAGGCAGGAGCCAAGGAAUCCGGAGCGCUAGCUUCGGAGGAGGCGCUGGUGGGAUACUGCCCUUGCGAUAUGAAAAUCCUAACCUCGAGCCGUGACCCGGUUCAGGGACAGUGUCUGGUGGGCAGUUUGACUGGGGCGGUCGCCUCCUAAAAGGUAACGGAGGCGCCCCAAGGUUCCCUCAGAAUGGUUGGAAAUCAUUCGUAGCGUGCAAAGGCAGAAGGGAGCUUGACUGCGAGACAUACAGGUCGAGCAGGGACGAAAGUCGGGCUUAGUGAUCCGGCGGCACCGCAUGGAAGGGCCGUCGCUCAACGGAUAAAAGCUACCCUGGGGAUAACAGGCUAAUCUCCCCCAAGAGUCCACAUCGACGGGGAGGUUUGGCACCUCGAUGUCGGCUCAUCGCAUCCUGGGGCUGAAGUCGGUCCCAAGGGUUGGGCUGUUCGCCCAUUAAAGCGGUACGCGAGCUGGGUUCAGAACGUCGUGAGACAGUUCGGUCCCUAUCCGUCGCGGGCGCAGGAAAUUUGAGAGGAGCUGUCCUUAGUACGAGAGGACCGGGAUGGACACACCGCUGGUGUACCAGUUGUUCCGCCAGGAGCAUGGCUGGGUAGCUACGUGUGGAUCGGAUAAGUGCUGAAAGCAUCUAAGCACGAAGCCGACCUCAAGAUGAGAUUUCCCGCGAGACCCCUUAAAGACGAUAAGGUAGAUAGGUCUGGUGUGGAAGCGUGGCGACACGUGGAGCUGACAGAUACUAAUCGGUCAAACGGUUUAUCCA